UGCCAGCAGCCGCGGUAAUACGGAGGGGGCUAGCGUUGUUCGGAAUUACUGGGCGUAAAGCGCACGUAGGCGGACUAUUAAGUCGGGGGUGAAAUCCCGGGGCUCAACCCCGGAACUGCCUUCGAUACUGGUAGCCUGGAGGUCGAGAGGGGCGAGUGGAAUUCCGAGUGUAGAGGUGAAAUUCGUAGAUAUUCGGAGGAACACCAGUGGCGAAGGCGGCUCGCUGGCUCGAUACUGACGCUGAGGUGCGAAAGCGUGGGGAGCAAACAGGAUUAGAUA
rnacentral:rRNA from 1 species